UACGUAGGGUGCAAGCGUUAAUCGGAAUUACUGGGCGUAAAGCGUGCGCAGGCGGUGAUGUAAGACAGGUGUGAAAUCCCCGGGCUUAACCUGGGAACUGCAUUUGUGACUGCAUCGCUGGAGUGCGGCAGAGGGGGAUGGAAUUCCGCGUGUAGCAGUGAAAUGCGUAGAUAUGCGGAGGAACACCGAUGGCGAAGGCAAUCCCCUGGGCCUGCACUGGACGCUCAUGCACGAAAGCGUGGGGAGCAAACAGG
rnacentral:rRNA from 1 species